UCGUCAGCUCGUGUCGUGAGAUGUGGGUUAAGUCCCGCAACGAGCGCAACCUUGUGUUUAGUUGCAAACAGGUCAAGCUGUGCACUCUAGACAGACUGCCGUGGACAACACGGAGGAAGGUGGGGAUGACGUCAAAUCAUCAUGCCCCUUAUGAUCUGGGCUACACACGUGCUACAAUGGCCGGUACAACGGGCAGCGAAGGAGCGAUCCGGAGCGAAUCCUAAAAAGCCGGUCCCAGUUCGGAUUGCAGGCUGAAACUCGCCUACAUGAAGUUGGAGUUGCUAGUAAUCGCGAAUCAGAAUGUCGCGGUGAAUGCGUUCCCGGGUCUU
rnacentral:rRNA from 1 species